rnacentral:rRNA from 1 species
UGGGGAAUAUUGCACAAUGGGCGCAAGCCUGAUGCAGCGACGCCGCGUGAGGGAUGAAGGCCUUCGGGUUGUAAACCUCUUUCAGCAGGGAAGAAGCGCAAGUGACGGUACCUGCAGAAGAAGCGCCGGCUAACUACGUGCCAGCAGCCGCGGUAAUACGUAGGGCGCAAGCGUUGUCCGGAAUUAUUGGGCGUAAAGAGCUCGUAGGCGGUUUGUCGCGUCUGCUGUGAAAACUCGAGGCUCAACCUCGGGCUUGCAGUGGGUACGGGCAGACUAGAGUGCGGUAGGGGUGACUGGAAUUCCUGGUGUAGCGGUGGAAUGCGCAGAUAUCAGGAGGAACACCGAUGGCGAAGGCAGGUCACUGGGCCGCAACUGACGCUGAGGAGCGAAAGCAUGGGGAGCGAACAGG